rnacentral:rRNA from 1 species
AAAGAAUCUCGGUCAAGGAUGGACUAGCGGCCUAUCAGCUAGUUGGUGAGGUAAUGGCCCACCAAGGCGACGACGGGUAGCCGGCCUGAGAGGGUGACCGGCCACACUGGGACUGAGACACGGCCCAGACUCCUACGGGAGGCAGCAGUGGGGAAUAUUGCACAAUGGGCGCAAGCCUGAUGCAGCAACGCCGCGUGAGGGACGACGGCCUUCGGGUUGUAAACCUCUUUUAGUAGGGAAGAAGCGAGGUGUUUAUUCACCUCAUGACGGUACCUGCAGAAAAAGCACCGGCUAACUACGCGCCAGCAGCCGCGGUAAUACGUAGGGUGCAAGCGUUAUCCGGAAUUAUUGGGCGUAAAGAGCUCGUAGGCGGUUUGUCGCGUCUGCUGUGAAAACUGGAGGCUCAACCUCCAGCCUGCAGUGGGUACGGGCAGACUAGAGUGCGGUAGGGGAGAUUGGAAUUCCUGGUGUAGCGGUGGAAUGCGCAGAUAUCAGGAGGAACACCGAUGGCGAAGGCAGAUCUCUGGGCCGUAACUGACGCUGAGGAGCGAAAGCGUGGGGAGCGAACAGGAUUAGAUACCCUGGUAGUCCACGCCGUAAACGUUGGGAACUAGAUGUAGGGACCAUUCCACGGUUUCUGUGUCGCAGCUAACGCAUUAAGUUCCCCGCCUGGGGAGUACGGCCGCAAGGCUAAAACUCAAAGGAAUUGACGGGGGCCCACACAAGCGGCGGAGCAUGCGGAUUAAUUCGAUGCAACGCGAAGAACCUUACCAAGGCUUGACAUAUACCGGAAAAGUUCAGAAAUGUUCUCCCCGCAAGGCCGGUAUACAGGUGGUGCAUGGUUGUCGUCAGCUCGUGUCGUGAGAUGUUGGGUUAAGUCCCGCAACGAG